rnacentral:rRNA from 1 species
GACGAACGCUGGCGGCGCGCUUAACACAUGCAAGUCGAGCGAGAACCAGGCCUUCGGGCCUGGGGGAAGCGGCGAACGGGUGAGUAACACGUGGGCAACCCACCCUUGGUACUGGGAUAGCCCGGGGAAACCCGGAUUAAUACCGGAUGGCCCAGCAGCUCUUCGGGGCGGCUGGAAAAGGUAGCUUCGGCCUCCGACCAAGGACGGGCCCGCGGCGGAUUAGCUUGUUGGUGAGGUAACGGCUCACCAAGGCGACGAUCCGUAGCUGGUCUGAGAGGACGAUCAGCCACACUGGGACUGAGACACGGCCCAGACUCCUACGGGAGGCAGCAGUGGGGAAUCUUGCGCAAUGGGCGAAAGCCUGACGCAGCGACGCCGCGUGGGGGAAGAAGGCUUUCGGGUUGUAAACCCCUUUCAGGAGGGACGAAGCCACUCGGGUGAAUAGCCCAGAGGGUGACGGUACCUCCAGAAGAAGCCCCGGCUAACUACGUGCCAGCAGCCGCGGUAACAC